CAGGCGUCGCCAUUCCAAGACUGUGGAAUAUCUGUUUUCUGUUUUGACAGUGCUGCAAAACCAAUCCCACCACAGAAAUCUUUGUCAUACAGUCUACUGCAGUACACUACUUGGGUAUAACGUCAUUGAGAGAACCCAGUAACAGCAGACAAAUCCUCACAGGCUUUCCUUUCUCCCCAACACUGAGGUAUUCAUAAAUUCCCCAGAUUUUUGAAAACCUUUGAAAUGGGUAAAGGGGAAUAACUUAUCAAUGCAUAAAAAUGACUUAAGG
rnacentral:lncRNA from 1 species